rnacentral:rRNA from 1 species
AUGAACGCUGGCGGCGUGCCUAAUACAUGCAAGUCGAGCGAACAGACGAGGAGCUUGCUCCUCUGACGUUAGCGGCGUACGGGUGAGUAACACGUGGAUAACCUACCUAUAAGACUGGGAUAACUUCGGGAAACCGGAGCUAAUACCGGAUAAUAUAUUUAACCGCAUGGUUCAAUAGUUAAAGACGGUUUUGCUUUCACUUAUAGAUUGAUCCGCGCCGCAUUAGCUAGUUGGUAAGGUAACGGCUUACCAAGGCAACGAUGCGUAGACGACCUGAGAGGGUGAUCGGCCACACUGGAACUGAGACACGGUCCAGACUCCUACGGGAGGCAGCAGUAGGGAAUCUUCCGCAAUGGGCGAAAGCUUGACGGAGCAACGCCGAGUGAGUGAUGAAGGUCUUCGGAUCGUAAAACUCUGUUAUUAGGGAAGAACAAAUGUGUAAGUAAAUAUGCACGUAUUGACGGUACCUAAUCAGAAAGCAACGGCUAACUACGUG